rnacentral:rRNA from 1 species
UACGAAGGGGGCUAGCGUUGCUCGGAAUUACUGGGCGUAAAGGGCGCGUAGGCGGAUAUUUAAGUUAGAGGUGAAAGCACAGGGCUCAACCCUGGAAUAGCCUUUAAUACUGGAUAUCUUGAGUUCGGGAGAGGUGAGUGGAACUCCGAGUGUAGAGGUGAAAUUCGUAGAUAUUCGGAAGAACACCAGUGGCGAAGGCGACUCACUGGCCCGAUACUGACGCUGAGGCGCGAAAGCGUGGGGAGCAAACAGG